rnacentral:misc_RNA from 1 species
CCGAGUUUACAACUCCCAAACCCCUGUGAACUUACUUUACGUUGCUUCGGCGGACACGCCCCGGCGCCCCCGUGCCCGGAACCAGGCGCCCGCCGGAGGACCACAAACCAUUGUUUUGCUAUAGCGGUAUCAUCUGAGUGGCACAAGCAAAUAAAUCA